CCUACGGGAGGCUGCAGUGGGGAAUAUUGGACAAUGGGCGAAAGCCUGAUCCAGCCAUGCCGCGUGUGUGAAGAAGGCCUUCGGGUUGUAAAGCACUUUCAGUGGGGAAGAAAGCCUUGGGGCUAAUACCCUCGAGGAAGGACAUCACCCACAGAAGAAGCACCGGCUAACUCCGUGCCAGCAGCCGCGGUAAUACGGAGGGUGCGAGCGUUAAUCGGAAUUACUGGGCGUAAAGCGCGCGUAGGCGGUCUGAUAAGCCGGUUGUGAAAGCCCCGGGCUCAACCUGGGAACGGCAUCCGGAACUGGCAGGCUAGAGUGCAGGAGAGGAAGGUAGAAUUCCCGGUGUAGCGGUGAAAUGCGUAGAGAUCGGGAGGAAUACCAGUGGCGAAGGCAGCCUUCUGGACUGACACUGACGCUGAGGUGCGAAAGCGUGGGUAGCAAACAGGAUUAGAUACCCCGGUAGUC
rnacentral:rRNA from 1 species